UAGUCCACGCCGUAAACGAUGGACACUAGUUGUUGAGCAUUAGCUCAGUGACUAAGCGAAAGUGAUAAGUGUCCCACCUGGGGAGUACGGUCGCAAGAUUGAAACUCAAAGGAAUUGACGGGGGCCCGCACAAGCGGUGGAGCAUGUGGUUUAAUUCGAUGAUACGCGAGGAACCUUACCAGGGCUUAAAUGUAAAUUGCAUGGGGUAGAGAUACCCCUUUCUUCGGACUAUUUACAAGGUGCUGCAUGGUUGUCGUCAGCUCGUGCCGUGAGGUGUCAGGUUAAGUCCUAUAACGAGCGCAACCCCUAUUUUUAGUUGCUAACAGGUUAAGCUGAGGACUCUAAAGAGACUGCCGGUGCAAACCGUGAGGAAGGUGGGGAUGACGUCAAAUCAUCACGGCCCUUACGUCCUGGGCUACACACGUGCUACAAUAGUUUUUCAAAAAGAAGCAAAAAUGUAAGCUUUAGCAAGUCUUCAAAAAAUUGAAGUUCGGAUUGUUUUCUGAAAUUCGAAAACAUUAAGUUGGAAUUGCUAGU
rnacentral:rRNA from 1 species